AGCAGCCGCGGUAAUUCCAGCUCCAAUAGCGUAUAUUAAAGUUGCUGCAGUUAAAAGCUCGUAGUUGAAUUUCGGGAUCAAUAUGUCGGUCGUGCCUCGGUACGUACUGGCUUAUUGGUUUCUCCUUUCUGAAGAACCAUGAUGUCAUUUAUUUGGUGUCGUGGGAAAUCAGGACUGUUACUUUGAAAAAUUAGAGUGUUUAAAGCAGGCUCACGCUUGAAUACAUUAGCAUGGAAUAAUGAAAUAGGACGUUUGAUUCUAUUUUGUUGGUUUCUAGGAUCGACGUAAUGAUUAAUAGGGAUAGUUGGGGGCAUUAGUAUUCAAUUGUCAGAGGUGAAAUUCUUGGAUUUAUUGAAGACUAACUACUGCGAAAGCAUUUGCCAAGGAUGUUUUCAUUAAUCAAGAACGAAAGUUAGGGGAUCGAAGACGAUCAGAUACCGUCGUAGUCUUAACCAUAAACUAUGCCGACUAGGGAUCGGAUGAUGUUAAUUUUUUAAUGUA
rnacentral:misc_RNA from 1 species